UACGGAGGGGGCUAGCGUUGUUCGGAAUUACUGGGCGUAAAGCGCACGUAGGCGGACUGUUAAGUCGGGGGUGAAAUCCUGGGGCUCAACCUCAGAAUUGCCUCCGAUACUGGCAGUCUCGAGUGCGGGAGAGGUGGGUGGAAUUCCCAGUGUAGAGGUGAAAUUCGUAGAUAUUGGGAAGAACACCAGUGGCGAAGGCGGCCCUCUGGACGGUGACUGACGCUGAGACGCGAAAGCGUGGGGAGCAAACAGG
rnacentral:rRNA from 1 species